AUUUCUGCUCAAUGAUGUGUUAAAUAGCCGCAGUACUCUGACUGUGCAAAGGUAGCAUAAUCAGUUGGCUCCUAAAUAGAGUCUGGAAUGAACGAAUAUAUGAAGAACAGCUGUCUUAAAGUAUUUAAAUGAAAUUGGUUGUAGGUGAAAAUCCCUACAUACCUCUAAAAGACGAGAAGACCCUAGAAACUUAUAUAAUUGUUUUGUUGGGGCGACAAAUUUACAUAAAAACUAAUUUUUAAUUAACAUGGCGAUUUCAGAUAGAUAAAGUUACUCUAGGGAUAACAGCAUAAUAUUUUUUGUUUGUGACCUCGAUGUUGGACUAGGUAAAGUAUUCUUUAGAAGAGAAUAUGUAUGCUCUGUUCGAGCAGGAGAACCU
rnacentral:rRNA from 1 species